CCCAGCUCGUGGCCUGAGGCGCUUGAGAAGGAGCUGGGGGAGGAGAAAUGGGGUAAAGCCCGACGCCAACGGCAAACGAUCUUGCCGCCGUCGUCAGCCCUCGGGAAAUCAUUUUCAUCUCGUGGCGGGAAGAGAUCCCAGAAGCUGUGGGGCUGCACCUUUGGUAACUGGAAUCCCGGAUGCCUGCUCCAGCGUCACCGCCCUUGCCAGCUCCGGGAAGCCCUUCUUUCUGCCAGAGUGAGCAGUUGAGGCGAUUUCCUCCUUCCAGGUUUCCCUGCUAGACCUGCAGUGGUUCCAUUUUGUUUGAGGCCCUUCCUUGUACUGAGGUUUACAUUCAGGUCUCUGUCAGAGCUGAGUCCCUGUUAGCUCUCAUUGGUCUGCCGCCUCCUUCCCUGGAGUACAGGUUCCCUCUUCUCUCCCACUAAGAGGGUGCUCCUGGUCAAGAGCUGGUCGUCCUCUUCCAGUAGAAUGCCAUCCUUGGAAGCUAGAAGCUCCAGCUCACCAAAGUAAUUGAGAUAAUGACCUUCACAGAUCUGUGGGUUCCUUGAAACCAUGAGUGAAGAACUCCUCUUAAAGACCAUUCUUACAGAGCAAGAUUGGCCUUGUUAAUGCUCUCCCCAAAAAGAGAUUCCACACCUUUUCACGAUGAUCUAACAAAUCCCGCCCAAUGAGAACGUUCUUCCUAAUUUCUCAUCUAGAGCAGCUUUACCUACUAGGUCCUGUAGCCACCCUUUGUUCAUUUUCCUGGAUGACCUGCAACACUCCUCAACUGCCUACAUUAUGAGUGUUAGGGGUGGGAAUCUGGGGUCUGUCCCCCUCCUCUGGAUUUUCUGCUUUUUUUCUCAUUGCCCCUCACACACUGGUGGACACGGGACAAUGAUGUUAUGAUGAGAAUGCAGCAAAAGAUUGUGCACUUACUGGGGAGAAAGGGUUUUGUUGUGAGCAGAUUUCUGCCUCCCCCAAUACCUUAUACAUACAAGAAUCCUAACACAGGAGACUAUGACCUUAUAGUGACGUGACAUAACCAUAGAUUUAUCAUUACAUCCAUCUACACCAUUACAAAAACCUGUAUUUAUCAAGCGCUGACAAUGCCCGAAUGCUGUUUUUAAGUACUUCCCACACGUUGCCCUAUAUACUGAAAACAAACCAAGAAAGUAGGUACUAUUUUUAUCCCCAUUUUACAGGUGAACAGACAGGCUCAGACAGGUAAUGUAGCAGGUAGCAGAGGGAGGAUCAGAGUCUAGGCAGACCAAUUCCAUUGCUUUAGCACCUAAACCCUGGGCUUUACUACACUUGCAACUCUGACUUCAGCUGGACCUUCCACCCUGCCCACAGAUUUAGCUUGCCAGAAAUAAAAACUCAUUUUCAAGUGGUGGGCAGCCCCCUUUAGUUAAGAUGCUGGCACAACUUGACAUAAUUGCUAAUGCUCACAGCUACUCUGAGAAUAGUUUCCAGUUUGCAGAGAAGUUCACUAACUCCCUUGAGCUCACAGUGAAGAGUGGGAGGCAGGGCUGGAUAGGGCUUGAGUAUGUGGACUUUAGACUCAGGCUUCUGGGUUUAACUCUCACCUGCCACUUACUAUCUGUGUGGCCUUUGGCAAGUUAUUUAGCCUGUCUGUGCCUUGGUCUCCUUGUGUAUGAAGUGGGGCCUCAGAGGUUAUUAUGAAGAUUAAAUGAGUUAAUGCAGAUAAAACAUUUGAUACCAUGAGUGCUCAAAAGUAACAGAGCUAAAAUUUUAUUCCAAGUCUCUCUGCCAUCAAAAACUACACUUUUCCUACUACUUUAUACUGCUUCCUACAUACUGAGAAGAAAAACUACACAUGAGAGGAAAAAAAGACUAAGAUAGUCCACCCAAGUGGUGAAAGCAAUGGCAUUUGAAUGGCGGGAAUAUGGGGUAACAUUUUCUUCUUUCUAGUUUUUAAGUUAUCUUCCAAGUUCCCUUUAGUGAGUUUCCACAAUGAGGACCAGAAAUAUAUCCUGACAGUCUCCACAUUCGUCAUAUUUAGCGCCAAAUUGCUCUUCUCUCCCCUUUCUCUCCUGGUCUCAUUGUCCCUGCCACUUUGGAGUUAUCUUUGCCCUCUGCCUUUCCUUGGGCUUUCCCUGCAAACAUCUAGCUGGCUCCUGGGUACUGACAGUCUCUCUGGUAUUGGGUCACACCUAUCCCUUCUGUCUACUGCCAUUGCUGUCCUUGCUGUGAGCUCUGUGCCAGCUUCCAGAUGAACUCCAGGCCACCUUGCACUCUGCGUGAGGUUGCCUCCUCCAGCCUUGCCUUCAUCUGCCCUUUACCUGUUUAGACCCUUAGUGACCGCCCCCCCCUCCCCAUAGCCUCUCUGGCAGUGUGCACAGAGCCAGCUGUCCCCUGGAUGGAUUCAUAAAGUACACUUUGUAGAGAAGCAAAGAGUGUUAAACCUGUUGAGGGGCUUAGCUAAAGGUAUUCCCCUUACAUAUAGGAAACUGAGCUCAGAGACUUGUCCUUGAUUUGUUCAGAGACACAGAGCUAAUGUGUAGCAGAGGGCCACAUGCAGACUUAAGGUCUCCUGACUGCCAACCUUGUGCCCUUUCCAUGAUUCUGCCAUGCCUUCCUGCAAAGCAUUUCCAGAUGAUAUGGUUUUCUAAUUGUUUAUUGCAGGCCCAAGAGGAGCUGUCUGGGUAAGUUAGCUCUUUUGUUAGACCAUGUGGCUCACCCUCCAUCUGUGAGCUUGGAGAAGAGUAGGCCUGGGUUUAUGCUACUGACUUCAUUCUUAUGUGCCAUAUCACCGGUACCAACCAUUACUCUUAGGAUUGGGUGCUUUGGUGAGAAUAUUCAGUCCUUAACACCACUGCUAGAAAAGGAACGCUGACUACCUUGUCUCAGAUGGUGAUCUGGUGGUUUCUAUCAGUAGGUGUGGUGGGUCGUCUACAAUGAUGGCCAGCAAAGGUGGUAGACCCUACUUCACCUUCCCGUAUAUGCACACUGCUCCUCCCACCAAGAGGUGGCAUCUGUGUUCCCUUCCCUUUGAAUCUGUAACUUGCUUUGACCAACAGGACAUGCAGAAGUGGUACCCUGUGACUUCUGGGCUGUAGCCACAUGGCUUGCAUUUUUCCCUCUUAGAACCAGUUGUGACACAAAGAAGCUUGACUCCCCUGCAGGAGCGAGAGGUCACCUGAAGAGAGCAAGCCCCUGGAGGAUGUGAGACAAUGAAGGAAGAGAGAGAGGAGUACAGCUAUCUUGAAGCCACCCCAGGUGAGUAGCUGUGUGAAGUCAUCUUCUGUCCUUAACCUCAGUCCAGCUGCCCCUCAGAGACUGGCUGCACCUGCCAAGCCCUGCCCAAGAUGCAGAACUGGGAGUAAAUAAAUGGCUGUAUUUGUUUUACGUCUUUGUAUUUUGGGGUGGUUUGUUAUGUGGCAAUAAUAACUGAAAUGGAAGGAUAAUGUAUUUACAGAUUAAAUUUUAGUUUUAAUUAUUUAGUGAUCAUAAACAGUACAUUUUAUUGUAUUGUAUUGUAUUGUAUUGUAUUGUAUUGUAUUGUAUUGUAUUUAUUUUUGGUGACAAAACCCAGGAACGAAUAAACAAUAAAUUUUAGAAAUAAAUUUCCAUUUUAAUUAUCUAAGUCAAAGCCCAUGAAUUCUCUUGAUAAUGUAGAACCAAUAAUUUUUGGUAAGGAAUUUUGGGGAAAGUAAUGCAAUACUUUUCAGGGUGAGGCCACUGUGAUUGGUUCAAUCUUUAUUUAAGGGAGACAGAUCUUCUUGGAUAUUACUACAGCCUUAAAGAGGCAUUUUAAUUUUUUUUAAUGUUUAUUCAUUUCUGAGAGAUAGAGACAGAGCGCAAGCUGGUGGGGUGGGUGUGCAGAGAGAGAGGUAGACACAGAAUCCAAAGCAGGCUCCAGACUCUGAGCUGUCAGCACAGAGCCUGAUGCGGGGCUCAAACUCACGAACCGUGAGAUCAUGACCUGAGCCGGAGUUAGACGCUUAACUGACUGAGCCACCCAGGCACCUCUUAAAGGGGCAUUUAAAAAGAAUUAUACUAAUGCAAAAAUGCCCACACGGUAUUCCAGUGUGGUAGGUGACUUCUAAAUUGCCACCAGUUGUCUAGCCCUUCUGAUUUUCAUGCCCUGUGUCAUCUUUUCCCCUUGAGGGUGGCUGGGCCUAGUAACUGACUUCUGAUGAAUAGAAAACAGCAAAAGUCAUGGCAUGUCACUUCCUAAAUUAGGGUACAAAAAGACUGUGACUUCUACCUUGCUUGCCUACCACCUUCCUCUCAUGCCCUGGCUCUAGUGGAAGGUAGCUGCCAUGUGGCGAGGAGUCCUCUAGAGAGGUCCUUGUGGCAAGGGAUUAAUGUCUCUGAGCAACAGCCCUUGCCAGCACCUGACUUGCAGCCUUCUGAGAAUCCCUUACCCAGAGGAGCCAGCCAAGCCGCCUGCUGAAACAGUGAUAUAAUAAAUACUUAAUGUUUUGGGGUGCCUGGGUGGCUCAGUCGGUUGAGCGUCCGACUUCAGCUCAGGUCAUGAUCUCACGGUCCGUGAGUUCGAGCCCCAUGUCGGGCUCUGUGCUGACAGCUCAGAGCCUGGAGCCUGUUUCAGAUUCUGUGGCUCCCUCUCCCUCUGACCCUCCCCCGUUCAUGCUCUGUCUCUCUCUGUCUCAAAAAUAAAUUAAAAAAAAUUAAAAAAAUUAAAAAAUAAAAUAAAAUAAAUAAAUACUUAAUGUUUUAAGCUGUAAAAUUUUGGGAUAAUUUGUUAUGCAGCUUUAUAUGACUAACGAAUUCGUUAACUGAAAAAAAUAGGAUAUCAAACUAUAAAGUUUCUUUGGUACAACUUUUUAGAGAGCUAAUAUGACCAUAAAUGUCAAACUCCCCUAAAAUUUUACACACCCUUGUAGCCCCACCUCUAGAAAUUUCUCUUAAGGGAAAAGAAAAAUCAUGGAAUGCUAACAAAGGAAUAGUUACAGGAAUGUUCAGAACAGUACUAUUUAUAAUGGCAAAAAACUGGUAGCAAUCCAUAAAUCUAAUGAUAGGGGAUUGAGUAACUGUAUCAUGGAAUUGUUGCUAAUGGAAGAGGUUGGAAUCCAUUAGUGAGUCUUGAAAACAAACUGACUUGCUGUUAGCAUUUGAAAAAAUAAAAUGAAAUAGAGUUAAAAAUAUCAAAAUAAAGGUAAGUUUCUCUUCAUAAGAAAAUUUUCAUUUCAGCAAUCCCUAUCAAAAUAACACAAGAAUUCUUCACAGAGCUAGAACAAAGAAUCCUAAAAUUUGCAUGGAACUGGAA
rnacentral:lncRNA from 1 species